rfam:Guillardia theta CCMP2712 unplaced genomic scaffold GTITHscaffold_17, whole genome shotgun sequence.
GACCCUGUGGCCUAAUGGACAAGGCGUCUGACUUCGGAUCAGGAGAUUGCGAGUUCGAGUCUCGUCAGGGUUG